UGACGCUGCACCCCACGGUUUAGGUUCUAGGGGGCGCCAAAGAUAACCCUAAAAUCCACAUAUUUAAAAGUCUUAUAACUUUUUAUUUUUGUCCUCACUGGCCUCCAAGUUUUCUAGGAUGAUGCAAUGUCCAGCCAUCAACACAUUUGUGAAGGAAUUUUUACUCCCCAAAAGAGCGCCCCCCCAUGGCAGGAGAAAAAAGUCCAUUUUUUCUUGUCCCCUAAGGUGAAAAUACACAUUGUUGAGUGUCACGCCUAUACGCUUUGUCAAAAUGACACAAAAAUUGACACACACAUGUAACUCAAUAAGAUCUACGAAAAAGUCAAUGCGCGCGUAUCUGUCAAAUGUACGGUUAAAGGGUUAUUCCGCAUUUUUUGCCGAUCCGCACACAUUUGAAUGUGGCUAACUCCUCCUAAGGCUUUCGUUCCACCGGCACCACAUUUGCUCAGGCCAAUCUACACCCCGUGGCCAUUAAAAGUUAUUCAAAUCAUGACGCUGCACCCCACGGUUUAGGUUCUAGGGGGCGCCAAAGAUAACCCUAAAAUCCACAUAUUUAAAAGUCUUAUAACUUUUUAUUUUUGUCCUCACUGGCCUCCAAGUUUUCUAGGAUGAUGCAAUGUCCAGCCAUCAACACAUUUGUGAAGGAAUUUUUACUCCCCAAAAGAGCGCCCCCCCAUGGCAGGAGAAAAAAGUCAAUUUUUUCUUGUCCCCUAAGGUGAAAAUACAUAUUGUUGAGAUUCACGCCUAUACGCUUUGUCAUAUUGACACAAAAUUUGACAAUCACGUGCCUUGCCUGGUAUCAUUUUUUUCAGCACAACCUCACCUGUGCGAAUUUACAGUUAUUUUAUCAUGUUGACAUACUGAAUUUACACAAUGGACCCAAAUUCACACACAAAACAUAAAAUCCGAGUGGAAAAAAGUAACAUUUUUACUGUGAAA